GAUUCAGGCUCAGAGCGAACGCUGGCGGCAUGCUUAACACAUGCMAGUCGCACGAAGGUUUCGGCCUUAGUGGCGGACGGGUGAGUAACGCGUAGGUAUCUAUCCAUGGGUGGGGGAUAACACUGGGAAACUGGUSCUAAUACCSCAUGACACCUGAGGGUCAAAGGCGCAAGUCGCCUGUGGAGGAGCCUGCGUUUGAUUAGCUAGUUGGUGGGGUAAAGGCCUACCAAGGCGAUGAUCAAUAGCUGGUUUGAGAGGAUGAUCAGCCACACUGGGASUGAGACACGGCCCAGACUCCUACGGGAGGCAGCAGUGGGGAAUAUUGGACAAUGGGGGCAACCCUGAUCCAGCAAUGCCGCGUGUGUGAAGAAGGUCUUCGGAUUGUAAAGCACUUUCGACGGGGACGAUGAUGACGGUACCCGUAGAAGAAGCCCCGGCUAACUUCGUGCCAGCAGCCGCGGUAAUACGAAGGGGGCUAGCGUUGCUCGGAAUGACUGGGCGUAAAGGGCGUGUAGGCGGUUUGUACAGUCAGAUGUGAAAUCCCCGGGCUUAACCUGGGAGCUGCAUUUGAUACGUGCAGACUAGAGUGUGAGAGAGGGUUGUGGAAUUCCCAGUGUAGAGGUGAAAUUCGUAGAUAUUGGGAAGAACACCGGUGGCGAAGGCGGCAACCUGGCUCAUUACUGACGCUGAGGCGCGAAAGCGUGGGGAGCAACAGGAUUAGAUACCCCUGGUAGUCCACGCUGUAAACGAUGUGUGCUAGAUGUUUGGGGUGACUUAGUCAUUCAGUGUCGCAG
rnacentral:rRNA from 1 species